rfam:Camelus ferus unplaced genomic scaffold scaffold539, whole genome shotgun sequence.
GGGCGUGUAGCUCAGGGGUGGAGUGCGUGCUUGGCAUGCGUGAGGUCCUGGGUUCAGUCCUCAGUGCCUCCG